rnacentral:pre_miRNA from 1 species
ACACAAAUCACCUAGGGAUCUUGUUAAAAUGCAGAUUCUGAUCUGGUGAGUCAGAGACUCUACAUUUCUGGUAAGCUUCUAAGUGGUCCAGAG